CUCCGGGCUGAUAACUAGAUGGUGUGAUCGGGCAGUAUACUAAUUUAUACUGGACAAAGACUCGUUCUUUGUGCUUAGUCCCAUACUGUUUUUUAAGUGUCCGGAAUAUUUAAUCCCAUGUGGAAAUGCUUCUUACACGGUUAUGGAUUGCACCUCAUGUGUAGCUACUAUAUCCAUUACCGUUUACUUUUCCUCAAAAUCU
rfam:Saccharomyces cerevisiae FostersO chromosome XII FOSTERSO_c12_72, whole genome shotgun sequence.